rnacentral:rRNA from 1 species
UACGAAGGUGGCAAGCGUUGUUCGGAUUUACUGGGCGUACAGGGAGCGUAGGCGGUUGGAUAAGCCCUCCGUGAAAUCUCCAGGCUUAACCUGGAAAGUGCAGAGGGGACUGUUCAGCUAGAGGAUGGGAGAGGAGCGCGGAAUUCCCGGUGUAGCGGUGAAAUGCGUAGAUAUCGGAAGGAACACCAGUGGCGAAAGCGGCUUCCUGGUCCAGCACCGACGUCAGGCACGAAAGCGUGGGGAGCAAACAGG